rnacentral:lncRNA from 1 species
AAGAAUAUAUUAAAAAAAAGGGUUGCAGGUAAAUUAUUGGUAUGAAGCGUUUUAUCAUUGGUCUGAAGCAUUUACAUCAAAAACAAUAUAUUAGGCGUAAUUUUUUGUUCAGGCAUGAAAAUACAAUUGGUUUGAAAUAUGCUUGACUAGCUUCAGCAUUUGAUUAGCCUUACUCCUAAAUUGGUGCUAAGCAUCAAAUGACUACACAUGAAAAAAAAAGAAGCAAACAGAAUAACUCCUUUAGUAGUAACAACACAUAUAAAAGAAUGAUACCCAACAGCUCAUAAUCGAAGCAUGUAAUUUACCUAUCCCGCAAGCAUGACCCCAUCAUGUACUCACCCAUACCCAUUUGUAGAAACUACUAGGACCUUAUCUACUUACAUCUCCUCUAUGCAUGGAAAAACAACAUCAAAAUUCACUCGUGCGCUCAUAGCUCAUAUUGGAAUUUCGUCAAACACUUGAUGUGCGCAACUUAAAAUAGACCCAACUUUUUGCUGGAAAAACAACCGACUAUGCAAGAUAGAAAACAACCGACUAUUCAGCGUCUUUGUAGCAGUUUUAUUUCUUGUUCUUGGCACUGGGUCCCUCGAGGGGCAAACCGAGCAGCGGAUGCUGCAGCUCAGCGAGCUAGGCGGAGGAUGUGCGAUGAAGUUUGGGCUUCCAGCCCCCCAUCCUCUCUGGUUUUUGUGUUGCAAGCUGAUGGUCUUCCUUGCCCCCCGCGGUGCUAGGGAGUUUUGUGCUGGAGGCGGAUGGGCUCCCCUUUUGGAGGCGUCAUAGUUACUGGUCUCUAGCCUUGUUUCUUCUAGCAGUUGUGCGUUUUCUUGCUGUUGCUGUUGUUGUUUCCUUCUCUUUCUACCUUUGGUUUUUUGUCUGUUUCUCCCCUUGUUGUCUGUCUUUCGUGUUUGAAUGAAAGUUUCUAUUGACCAAAAAAAAAAAAAAAUGCAAGAUAGAAAACAACGUUAAUGUGAAAAUGAAAACAUAACUGGAAAAAAAAAAUUUGAAACUGAUUGCUACACAAAUUUAUACCAAUACAGAUAAUGAAUGGUACUGAUAAGAACGCAUGAUUUGGGGUAGAUGAAAAUGCAUAAUUUGGGAUAGAUAGAUGAAAAGCUGAUAAGAACGGAGACAAUAACACAUAAAUUACAUGUGUUAUGCAGGCAUACCAGUCAAAGUUUAAGACGUCGGCGCUGGAAUCGUUCGCAGUUAGUGUCGUCUUCAUUUUGUGACUAGUUUGAAAAAUUGAAUGUACCUAUGGACCCUAAUUUUGAAUGGCAGAGACAUUGGAGGCAAUCUAACCUUAGCGAAUAUGUGGUUUUCAAUGAUGGACAUGAAGCAAGGCUGAAAUGGAGGUAUACUAUUUUGAAGAGAAUGUAACAGUCGGACUGAGUGAUCUUUUGUAAUGAUGUAAAAACAUAAGAAUAUUAUGACCUUUU